rnacentral:rRNA from 1 species
UACGAAGGGGGGCUAGCGUUGUUCGGAAUCACUGGGCGUAAAGGGCGCGCAGGCGGCCAUUCAAGUCAGAUGUGAAAUCUCCCGGCUCAACUGGGAGGGUGCGCGGAAGACUGUAGGGCUUGAGUGUGGGAGAGGUAAGCGGAAUUCCUGGUGUAGCGGUGAAAUGCGUAGAUAUCAGGAGGAAACACCUGUGGUGUAGACAGCUUACUGGACCAUAACUGACGCUGAGGCACGAAAGCGUGGGUAGCAAACAGG